rnacentral:rRNA from 1 species
GGUUUGAUUCUGGCUCAGAUUGAACGCUGGCGGGAUGUUUUUACACAUGCAAGUCGAACGGCAGCACGGACUUCGGUCUGGUGGCGAGAGUGGCGAACGGGUGAGUAAUGUAUCGGAACGUGCCUAGUAGCGGGGGAUAACUACGCGAAAGCGUAGCCAUUACCGCAUACGCCUCGGGGAGUGCUGGGGGACCUUUCGGGCCUCGCACUAUUAGGAGCGGCCGAUAUCGGAUUAGCUAGUUGGUGGGGUAACGGCUCACCAAGGCGACGAUCCGUAGCUGGUUUGAGAGGACGACCAGCCACACUGGACUGAGACACGGCCCAGACUCCUACGGGAGGCAGCAGUGGGGGAAUUUUGGACAAUGGGGGAAACUCCUGAUCCAGCCAUCCCGCGUGCGAUGAAGGCCUUCGCUGUAAAGCACUUUUGGCAGGAAAGAAAACGGCACGGGAUAAUACCCCGUGCAACUGACGGUACUCUGCAGAAUAAGCACUGGCUAACUACGUGCCAGCAGCCGCGAAUACGUAGGGUGCAAGCGUUAAUCGGAAUUACCGGGCGUAAAGCGCGCAGGCGGUUCGGAAAGAAAGAUGUGAAAUCCCAGAGCUUAACUUUGGAACUGCAUUUUUAACUACCGAGCUAGAGUGUGUCAGAGGGAGGUGGAAUUCCGCGUGGGUAGCAGUGAAAUGCGUGUAGAUAUGCGGAGGAACACCGAUGGCGAAGGCAGCCUCCUGGGAUAACACUGACGCUCAUGCACGAAAGCGUGGGGAGCAAACAGGAUUAGAUACCCUGGCAGUCCACGCCCUAAACGAUGUCAACUAGCUGUUGGGGCCUUCGGGCCUUUGCAGCGCAGUUAACGCGUGGUUGACCGCCUGGGGAGUACGGUCGCAAGAUUAAAACUCAGCGAAUUGACGGGGACCAUGCAGCAAGGGUGAUGAUGGAUUUAAUUCUGACGCAACAUAAAACCCUUAUCACCCUGACACGUCCAAUAGGAACCCAGCACAUUUGGAGUGGCUGCAGAUAACCGAACCCACAGGGUGCCAUGCUGGCCGUCAUCAGCGGUGAUACCAGUUGAAACCUGCAACGAUGCGGCGCACCCUACGCUGUUCGCUGCCGGUGGCACCUCAUUGAGACCUGCACAUAUUAAAAACCGAGGAAGGCAGGAUGACGCUGGAGUCUGUGGCUCGGUGGUGGCUUCAACGUCGUGCCAAUGAGUCGGGACAGAGGGAUCAGCAACCUGCCGCGAGGGGGAGCCAAUCCCAGAAACCCGAUCGUAGUCCGGAUCGCAGUCUGCAACUCGACUGCGUGAAGUCGGAAUCGCUAGUAAUCGCGGAUCAGCAUGUCGCGGUGAAUACGUUCCCGGGUCUUGUACACCGCCCGUCACACCAUGGGAGUGGGUUUUACCAGAAGUAGUUAGCCUAACCGUAAGGAGGGCGAUUACCACGGUAGGAUUCAUGACUGGGGUGAAGUCGUAACAAGGUAA